AGAGAGGAGAAAAGGGAAUCAAGGGAGAGAGAGGAGAAAAGGGGAAAGCGUGAUUGUUAUGUGGCUAGUGCUGCCACACUGUUGCAUGCGGUGACUGAUCAAUGGAGGCAGCUGGCUGCUGUGCGGUGACCAACUUUUGAUGAAACUUGGCACCGUGGAAAAGUCUAGGCACAAUUGUACUGUGCUUCAGGGAAUCUUGGCAAGCAGCAGUUUCACUUCGAUGCAAAAAUUCAAAAACUAAACUUUCAUGGUGUUAUGAGAACUGAUCGAGAACCGUUGCAGCUUAAGCUCGAAUUGAGUACAUGUAGUAAGCUAGCGUUUCUUGGC
rnacentral:lncRNA from 1 species